rnacentral:rRNA from 1 species
GUACUUAUUACCUGAAUACAUAGGGUUUUAAGAGCGAACCCGGGGAACUGAAACAUCUAAGUACCCGGAGGAAAGGACAUCAACCGAGACUCCGUUAGUAGUGGCGAGCGAACGCGGACCAGGCCGUGCAGUAAUAAAAGCCGAACCAGUUGGAAAGCUGGGCGAAAUGGGUGACAGCCCCGUAGGCGUUUAAAAAUCUGCCGUUAGAGUAGGGCGGGACACGUGAAAUCCUGUCUGAACAUGGGGGGACCACCCUCCAAGCCUAAGUACUCCACAUUGACCGAUAGUGAACCAGUACCGUGAGGGAAAGGUGAAAAGCACCCCAACGAGGGGAGUGAAACAGACCCUGAAACCGGACGCCUACAAACAGUCGGAGCUUCCUUGAGAAGUGACGGCGUACCUUUUGUAUAAUGGGUCAGCGACUUGGUCUUACGAGCAAGCUUAAACCGAUAGGUGUAUGCGCAGCGAAAGCGAGUCUUAAUAGGGCGACAUGU